rnacentral:rRNA from 1 species
UACGAAGGGGGCUAGCGUUGCUCGGAAUCACUGGGCGUAAAGCGCACGUAGGCGGAUUGCUAAGUCAGGGGUGAAAUCCUGGAGCUCAACUCCAGAACUGCCCUUGAUACUGGCGGUCUCGAGUCCGGGAGAGGUGAGUGGAACUGCGAGUGUAGAGGUGAAAUUCGUAGAUAUCGGGAGGAACACCAGUGGCGAAGGCGGAGACCUGGGCCGAUACUGACGCUGAGGUGCGAAAGCGUGGGGAGCAAACAGG